UCCAGACUCCUACGGGAGACAGCAGUGGGGGAUAUUGCACAAUGGGGGGAACCCUGAUGCAGCGACGCCGCGUGGGUGAAGGAGCGUUUCGGCGCGUAAAGCCCUAUCGGCAGGGAAGAAGGAGGACGGUACCUGACUAAGAAGCCCCGGCUAACUACGUGCCAGCGGCCGCGGUAAUACGUAGGGGGCAAGCGUUAUCCGGAUUUACUGGGUGUAAAGGGGGCGCAGACGGCAGCGUAAGCCAGGAGUGAAAGCCCGGGGCCCAACCCCGGGACUGCUCUUGGAACUGCGCGGCUGGAGUGCAGGAGGGGCAGGCGGAAUUCCUGGUGUAGCGGUGAAAUGCGUAGAUAUCAGGAGGAACACCGGUGGCGAAGGCGGCCUGCUGGACUGCGACUGACGUUGAGGCCCGAAAGCGUGGGGAGCAAACAGGAUUAGAUACCCGGGUACA
rnacentral:rRNA from 1 species